rnacentral:rRNA from 1 species
GNGGGAAUAUUGCACAAUGGGGGGAAAACCCUGAUGCAGCGACGCCGCGUGAGCGAAGAAGUAUUUCGGUAUGUAAAGCUCUAUCAGCAGGGAAGAUAAUGACGGUACCUGACUAAGAAGCCCCGGCUAACUACGUGCC